rnacentral:rRNA from 1 species
CCUACGGGGGGCAGCAGUGGGGGAUAUUGCACAAUGGGGGGAACCCUGAUGCAGCGACGCCGCGUGGGUGAAGGAGCGUUUCGGCGCGUAAAGCCCUAUCGGCAGGGAAGAAGAUGACGGUACCUGACCAGGAAGCCCCGGCUAACUACGUGCCAGCAGCCGCGGUACUACGUAGGGGGCAAGCGUUAUCCGGAUUUACUGGGUGUAAGGGGGCGCAGACGGCAAUGCAAGCCAGGAGUGAAAGCCCGGGGCCCAACCCCGGGACUGCUCUUGGAACUGCAUGGCUGGAGUACAGGAGGGGGAGGCGGAAUUCCUAGUGUAGCGGUGAAAUGCGUAGAUAUUAGGAGGAACACCGGUGGCGAAGGCGGCCUGCUGGACUGUGACUGACGUUGAGGCCCGAAGGCGUGGGGAGCAAACAGGAUUAGAUACCCUUGUAGUC